AAGGAAUUACUGGGGAAGUUGGUGGUAGAGGGAGGCUAUUGACAUGUCACAGCAAGAUGCUCAAAAAUGUAGAGCACAUGGAGAAGAUUGCCAUGCUGGCUUUCCAUCCAGUUAAGAUGCACAGCUGCUAUGAGAAGGUGGUGAACCUGAGCCUUGAGGGUCUUGCAGCAACAGUUUGACGUGAGCAGCCCGUCAGUGUUUGUCCAAAGGGCCCAGAUCCCCAUGAGAGAGAUGUUUGAGCAGAUCCUUCAUCAGAGUCUCGAGUCUCAGGGUACAGAGGAGCUGUGUAAGAUCAUCCAGCACUGCCAGGACAGAGUCAUUAAGGUAAUACACAAAGAAAACAGGCUUGUGCAUCAAAUUCUUGCAUAACAUCUACAUUAAUAUCUAAUAAUAUUACAUCUGGCAUACUCCAGCCCUGGGAGUGAAACUUUUGGUCUGGCCUUGUUUUAGUGUUAAUGAAAAUUCAGGUUCACCUUUAUCAAUUUAUUAAUUUUUUAACAAAGAGUCCAGGAUACCGGGCAAUAUCCCAGCUUAAUCCCUUCUGUGCAUGGUCCUCUGAUAUUUUCAAGCCUCAACUUGCCAGCUCCAUGUUUAUUUUUAUUAUAUCAGAAAGUAUGAGUGUGUGGAUGAGCUAACUCAUGCUUUUGAAGCAUGAUGAUGGUCGCCACAGCGGUCGUCUUCCAGAUAGAGAUUAGAUAGAAAAUAAAAACUCCAAACUCAAGGAAUAAACACUUGACUUUUGCGAGAACAGGUGAACGUCACAUAGUGUACCCUGAGACAUUAUUGCUCUGGACCAUAAUCAUCAAUUGGACUGAUAAGAGAUUGCCGGCAUCUUGUGAAAUGUGCCAGUACACAAAUAAAAGUGCCGGUUCUGUGUACUGGACAGUACCGGGCCACUUCUAGUUAAUAAUUGUACUGUAGCGACAGUG